AAGGCAUGUCUGCUUCCAGGAGCUUGGAGGGAAGAAUUCCUGCCUCCCCCCCUGUAACAGACACCAGCCUCUUCUGCCAUGUGGCAGUCCAAACAACACCCGUUAUGGAAGAAAUGCAUGCAUUUCCGGAAUUUCUGAAAGAAAGGGGACACUUGUAACGUGCCGCUGUGGUAGAGAUGACAGCACUCAUUUACUGCGAGUCUGCACGGCCGCACCUGCUCCGAGCGGUGCCGUGUCUACCCUCGCAGUGCCACGCGGUGCUUGCAGACUCACUCCUGGCCACCUGAGACCCCACAGGGAGAGUUCCUGGGUGCACAUUCACCUCCGGGUGCCCCUGAGCAUUUGUUAACUUGGGUCACGAGUGAGGAAAGGGUUUGCUGCCUUCAUUUCACCCAUGUAACUGAGAACAGGCCACUGAUGGAUUGGUUCUGUAUGCACAUACCACCCCAUGACAUGUUUUGAAUCUGGCUGAAAAUUCAUCUUGGGGACCAUCUGAGUGAGGAGAGCCCAGUGCUGAGGAGAACACAUGGAUCAAAUUUGACAAAGGAAGGUACGCCAGCCUUCCCCUCGCCCCACGUCCCCACCAAGGAAGGAGGCGAAGCAGGUACCCAUCCUAGUGAUGGUCACUCGAGGUCUCCAGAAGCCUGCAGAGGGCAAAGUCUCAACUCAGCAGGAUCGAGGCAACCAAGAUAUCAAACUUCAUACCCAGACAGCCCUGCUACUGCUCUGCUACUUCUGAGCUGCCACACAGCCUCCAUGGGGAUGCAUUUUGCCCAUCUGUGAAACCAGGGUCCCAAGAGAGGCUGUUUUCUGGAUGAUCCUUUUGGCCAAGUGGUCCUUUGCUCUGCCACUCUCUAGCACUAGUCUAGCCUCUUUGUGGUCACCCAUAACCAGAAGAAUUCCUCCAACAAAUCUCAUUUUGUGUUUGCUGAAAGAACGCAACAGGGUUUCCAGAAGUGGAGUUGGAGCAGGUGGGGACUCAUGUGCCCUUAGUGGCCAGAGAAAUAUUUUGUUGACCCCUGUUCUAAAUCAUCUUCUGCUGAUAUGCUUCAAGGCUCCUGUCUCAGCUCCAGGGGGACACUGAGGAAUUAACUCCAUGCAGUCCACUAGAUUCCUUUCAGGGGUAAGGCUCAUCCUGGAAGACCCUCACAGCUCAAGGAAGACCUGGAAAGCAGUCAGCUCGGUUGCCAGCUGUCCUUGAUGCUGAUUGCAAGUACCAACUGAGCCCAAUACCUUAAAUAGCAUCUGUGGUUUAUUAGGUAGCCCUGAAGUUAAGGAUAUUCACUUUGGAAGAGAAAUGAUGUGGAUUUGAAAUCCCAUGAACUCCAGCUCUUGACUUUCCAUUUUGGAGGAGGCCACAGUCAGAGUCAUUGGACUAAGGUACUUGACACUCAGUGGCUUAUUUGAUCUUAAUAGCAUUCCUAUGAGGCAAAUAUUAUGAUCCUAUUUUAAGUGGAGAGACUGAGUACCAUACCGUUUAAGAAAGCUGUCCAAGGACACACAGCAAGUAAGAGGAGGAACUGGAAUUCAGGCCGAUACCUUCCUGAUUUUAAAACACAUUCAUCUUCAUGACUCCAAGCUUUCAUGUCAUUCACCCUCCUGCUUGGAUGGCCAACUACCAGAUGGGAUUCCAGCCUUCCAGUGGGGAUUUUGACCUUCAUGGCAGAGGUGGGCCUCCUACUGUAGCUGUAGGAGGACUGCUUGAUGGUGGGGGAGGGGCGACUGAGACACAGAUGCCCCUUUAUGUUCUUACCCAAAGAAGAACUCCAAGUGCAAGAACAGUGAACCAACCAAAUUAUACACCUGCCCUGAAGUUCCUUCUGCAGCCUUCUAGUCCUCUGGUAUUGCAUUAGGAGAGCUCUCCCCAGAGUUGGGCAUUUAGGUUUCUCCCCUUAUUCAUUUUUAAAAUACUUAUCUGCUGAUCUGUGUCUAUGCCCAAAAUUCCAUUGCUAAUGCUGAGUCCCUUUUUAUGGAGGAAUUGUUAUCUCUAUGUCCCUUUAUAAAGAACAGAUAUUCUGAAUCUUUAAAAGAAUAAAGACAUCUAUAAGUCUGUAAUACCCCCUUAUAAAUAAGAUUAUUAUAUACUUUCUUUCCAGUUUACUGAGAAUAUACCCUAAGAGAACGGUAGGUGGAAAGAGUCAAAUGCCAGAGGGCACUGCCUUCUUUGAAGUGUGAGAUGCUACCUUGUAUGGGUCUGGGGUGUCCAGGGGAGGAUCUAGGCAACCAGGGGCAGCAUUCAUAGAGUGGGUCCAGGGGAAGUCAUGUAUGGGGUGGGCCCUGGAAGGGAAGUGCUGGAGCCAAAAGCAAAUACUAGUUGCUAACAUUUGUUGAGUACGUAGUGCGUUCCAAGAACUCACACGUGCAUUAGUUCAUUGAAUCCCCAGAGCACUCCUGUGACAUAGGUGUUAUUAUUAUGACUUCUCUUUUAUCAACAAGGAUCUGGAGGCAUAGAGAAGUUAAAUGACUUGCUCAAGGUCACAUAGUUAAAAAGUGCCAGAGUCAGGAUCCAAACACAAAUAGUAUUGCCCCAGAGCCUGUAUUCCUUUUUUGCAGUGUUCACAAAUGCAAGACUGUGCAAGAAUAAAUGUAUGGACAAUAUCAACGACUCCAGGAUUACAUUUGAGAUGUUCUCAUCAUACAGUGAUGAUACUUUAUACUGUGUAUCUCUUAACUCUCCACAAAGUAUUCUGCAUACAUAAGCUGAGUGGGAUGAGCCUGAGGUGGGUAGGGCCUGCGGAUUGGCUGGCCAGGGUCUUUGAAUGACACUGUAUAAGAGGGAACUUGUUGGUCAAGGGAGAACUGACCCUCCAGCGUGACUGUGACCCCCACCUAUAAAUUCUGAGCCUGGCCCUGUGUGGAUAUGCACAGGAGAUGGGGCAGGGAGAAGACAGCAUUCCUGGCCUUGAGGAGCUCCCAAGCCUGCUGGGGAGAAGGCUGCCCCAGAAACAACUGAUCAACCCCCAGAGCUGAGGCAGAGGACAGUGUGCCACAGGGCCCCCACAAGCGAGAGGAGGAGAGUGGCUGGAGAGGGGCAGAGGCCCUUCCUGUGGCAUAAACUCCAUCCAUCCUUUCGUACGGGCCCAAAGGCCUGCUCCCCUGGAGGCUUCCUGUGCUUUGCCCUCGCAUGGCUCUCUCCCCUUUCGGGGCUCAGACAGCCUUUCUGUGCUCUUCUUACACACUUAGCAUUGUUCUUUACUUGAGUUUUCCUUUUAUUCCUCUCUGACCAUAGCAGAGCCCACUGUUAUUCCCAUCUCCCAUCUAUUCUCCAGCAGUACUUUUCAAAAUUCAUUGUCAAGUUGAAUCACCUGGGGAACCUGUUAAAAUGCAGCUGUAGAUCCAGUAAAUCUUAGGUGGAGCCUAAGGUUCUGCCUUUCCAACAAGCUCCUAGCUGAAGCUGAAGCUGACGCUGAUCCUGACGGUCUAUGGACGGCACUUUGAGUAGCAAGGUUCUCCAGUAUUAGGCAACAGACCAAACCUUUGAAGCUGACUUGUUGAUUUAUUGAACUGGUUAACAGGCACUUCCUUUU